UGACAUCUUACUCUCUUGGCAGAGUUCAAAACAACAUGAUUCAAGCUGAUGAAAUUCAGUCGUAUUUUUUUCUUUUUUCCCGAGCAUGUAGUUUCUUCAACUGUUCUGAAGGUCCUCUCUUUUGUAAUUAAGCUCACAUGCAAAUGUCCUGGUACGUACUUAGAAUCAUAUAGCUGACAAUAUUCAACUUUUCUGAUGUAGUAAGAAUGCCAGGCGUUAUUUUGUCAUUGGUGUUUCCAUUUGUCGGUUACAGGUAUAUCAUUCCAAUAUUCAUACUAUAGAAGUCGUUGUCAGGGAGUGCGAGAUGGGCGGCGCAGUGGCCAGCGAUGGCAACAGCAUCACGACAGCUGUGUUCACCCAGUUUGAGGUGACGUCGAGGAGAUGUCGACGAACUCCGUGGAUGAGCGGUGGUCAUGAGAGUUUGCCGAGGAAGGCCGACUCGAUCAUGGAGUUGCUAUCGCUGCAGAAGGCGACGCUAGCAAUAGAGACAUCCAUCCAUUAGUGCCACCUUGAAUAACAACGUUGUAAGGCUCUGCACUGGUUGCUGAAGCAGCAGAGAGGCUUGCGUCAUGCAAGCAACUGGUGGCUACAAGGAUCUGUAUGUAAACAUGGCUUUUGCUAAAGAGAGAAACUGAGAGAUACUACUAUCCUGGUUCCAUGGAAGGCUUAUUUGUCAUCUUGAAUCCCGAUUUGGACAAGAAGAACUCCCCCAUGUUUCCUUGAAUCUCUAUAAAGCAGUGUUGUGCAUUACUAUUGAAUGACUCCGUGGGUCAUGGGCAUAGAGUGGAGGUUGCAUCACAUCCUCUACAUUGUGUCAAAGGACUUGCAUGUGGUGGCGUUCAUAGUGGACGGGGUUUGUUUUCAUGUAAGUGAUGGUCGAUGUAAGAUAGGUGGUGGAUGGAUGGGCAUUUCAUAAGUUUUUUUCC